rnacentral:tRNA from 2 species
GGGCCCGUAGCGCAGCCUGGAUCAGCGCGGCGGCCUGCGGAGCCGUAGUCGGCGUAGCCGGCGGAUGUCGCGGGUUCAAAUCCCGCCGGGCCCG